AAAAGGAGUUGUGAAGGGGAACUUGUUAUUCAAGACACAAGGAGCGAGUCUGGCCGAGAAAGCACCAGAGGUGUAACUAUGGUGUAUGAGACACCAUCUUUUACGUUGCCUCUUAUUUUGGAUUAUACAAUGUAUCUUGUGCCAACUUAGGACAUAUCUUCUUUGUGAAGCAUGUAAACUCUAAUCCUUUUUAUUAAAAGUAUUUAUAUGACCAAGAGGAUUAUAUCUGUC